rnacentral:rRNA from 1 species
AUUGAACGCUGGCGGCAGGCCUAACACAUGCAAGUCGAGCGGAUGAAGGGAGCUUGCUCCUGGAUUCAGCGGCGGACGGGUGAGUAAUGCCUAGGAAUCUGCCUGGUAGUGGGGGAUAACGUCCGGAAACGGGCGCUAAUACCGCAUACGUCCUGAGGGAGAAAGUGGGGGAUCUUCGGACCUCACGCUAUCAGAUGAGCCUAGGUCGGAUUAGCUAGUUGGUGGGGUAAAGGCCUACCAAGGCGACGAUCCGUAACUGGUCUGAGAGGAUGAUCAGUCAAAUUGGAACGAGGACACGGGCCAAACUCCUACGGGGGGCAGCAGUGGGGAAUAUUGGUAAAUGGGCGAAAGCCUGAUCCAGAAAAGCCGCGGAUGUGAAGAAGGUCUUCGGUUUGUAAAGCACUUUAAGUUGGGAGGAAGAGCAGUAAGUUAAUACCUUGCUGUUUUGACGUUACCAACAGAAUAAGCACCGGCUAACUUCGU